GCGGCACGUUGCGGCGGGGCCCGGCGUGGGGAAGGCAGCGGGCCGGGGCGGGGAGCUCGGCGCGGCCGGGGAGCCAGCCCCCCGGCUCCUCCCCCGCCCGCCUGCGGAGCCCCGGGGCACACCCUCCGUGACGUGGCGGCCCUCCCGGGAGCCCAGGGGGAGGCUCGCGGCUCCCCGGGACCCCCACGGGGCCGCGUGAGGCGGGGAGGCCGGCGCCCGGACUGUGCGCCCUGCGGAACCCACGGGGCCUUCUUGUGCCCUGGCCCGGCGUGCGUCCUCCUGCGCUGAACCGGGCGCGCUCGGGUGGGACUCAGGGAGCCUUGAUCACUUCCCACCUGCGUCCCGGUCCGGGUGGAGGAGCGCUCCUUUCUGCCUCGCCGGGGGUCGCGGCCUACGCCGCCGACCCCACUGUCCCCGCCAGUCUCCGACAGCGGCGCGGGAAGCCCUUCGAGAAAAGCGGCGGCGGCCAGGCCUCAGCGAUUUCCUUCUCGGGCCCCGGGCUGCGGCAGUUGUGAGGAGAGCUCAGAACCGCCUCCCUCCCCCACAACCAGCGCAUUCAUGGAUUCCUUGUAAUUUUCCCAACUACCCUGUGAGAUCUGUCUUCUAAGGCAGCAGGUACACCAAAGAAGAAAGCUGUUGUCCAGGCUAAGUUGACAACCACUGGCCAGGUGACUUCUCCAGUGAAAGGCGCCUCAUUUGUCACCAGUACCAAUCCCCGGAAAUUUUCUGGCUUUUCAGCCAAGCCCAACAACUCUGGGGAAGCCCCCUCGAGCCCCACCCCUAAGAGAAGUCUGUCUUCAAGCAAAUGUGACC
rnacentral:sRNA from 1 species